GACGAACGCUGGCGGCGUGGAUUAGGCAUGCAAGUCGAACGGUAUCAUCCUUUCGGGGGUGAGAGAGUGGCGAACUGGUGAGUAACACGUAGGUUAUCUACCCUCAAGACGGGGACAACCCAGGGAAACUUGGGCUAAUACCGGAUGUGAGCAACUUUUAGUUGUUUGAAAGGUGGCGUAAGCUGUCGCUUGGGGAUGAGCCUGCGUCCUAUUAGUUAGUUGGUGAGGUAACGGCUCACCUAGGCAAUGAUAGGUAGGCGGCCUUAACGGGUGGUCGCCCACACUGGGAUUGAGAUACGGCCCAGACUCCUACGGGAGGCAGCAGUCGAGAAUAGUCUACAAUGGUCGGAAGACUGAUAGUGCGACGCCGCGUGAACGAUGAAUCCCUUCGGGGUGUAAAGUUCUUUUAUAUGUGAGCAGUGCUUCUUAUAUUAACAGUAUGGGGAGAGAGAUAUUAGCAUAUGAAUAAGCAAACGGCUAAACUCCGUGCCAGCCAGCCGCGGU
rnacentral:rRNA from 1 species